GUUGCAUUGUUGGAUUUGUCCUCCAAACCUAGCUUUUGUGAUCCCGCUGGAAGAGGUGCAAUCAAAUCUUCCAUUGUCUUAACCAGCGAGUCUGUAUCUCGAUCUCCAUAGUAAGAUUCAUGGUCAUGGUGUCCAUGAUCAUCCCUUACAUCACUUCCUUUCCGAAAAAUACGGAUGGAUGGAUAACCUUGUAUGUGAUGCUUCCGACACAAAUCAACUUCUUCCGUGCAAUCAACCUUUGCCAUAAGAAUUCGUCCAUCUAAUUCUGGAUCGUAUCUUUCUCUUAUAGUUUUGGC
rnacentral:misc_RNA from 1 species